rnacentral:tRNA from 1 species
CAGAGAUUAGUUUAAUAAAAAUAUAAAUUUUGGGGAUUUAAGAUGAGGUUCGCUUUAUCUCUGA